UCUUUAAAACGUCAACAAUUUCAAAAUAUACCGUAAUAUAUUUUGUAUUCCAAGAGCAUACGCCCUGGACCGCGACUUUGGACGAGUAAUACCCGACAAAAACGUACAAAAUGGCUAAUUCAUAUGGAACAAAUGGCAAACUUAAGUUUGCUUGCUACACUCGACUUUGAUCUUCGAACGAACUACGCUUAAUCCAACCCAAUCAACCCAAUCAACCAAUCCUCCAAUCAACAAUGCCUUCUGCUUCUCCAUCCCAACUAAUUUUUUUCGUUUCAUUUUGUAUCCUCUACAGAAUGAUGAAUAAAUUAUAUUAAAACCAAU